rnacentral:tRNA from 1 species
GUGGAUAUAGCCCAGUGGUAGAGUGCGUGCUUCGCAUGGGUGAGAUCCUGGGUUCAACCCCCAGUACCUCCA